rnacentral:rRNA from 1 species
GAUGAACGCUGGCGGCGUGCCUAAUACAUGCAAGUCGAGCGAACAGACGAGGAGCUUGCUCCUCUGACGUUAGCGGCGGACGGGUGAGUAACACGUGGAUAACCUACCUAUAAGACUGGGAUAACUUCGGGAAACCGGAGCUAAUACCGGAUAAUAUAUUGAACCGCAUGGUUCAAUAGUGAAAGACGGUUUUGCUGUCACUUAUAGAUGGAUCCGCGCCGCAUUAGCUAGUUGGUAAGGUAACGGCUUACCAAGGCGACGAUGCGUAGCCGACCUGAGAGGGUGAUCGGCCACACUGGAAGUGAGACACGGUCCAGACUCCUACGGGAGGCAGCAGUAGGGAAUCUUCCGCAAUGGGCGAAAGCUUGACGGAGCAACGCCGCGUGAGUGAUGAAGGUCUUCGGAUCGUAAAACUCUGUUAUUAGGGAAGAACAAAUGUGUAAGUAACUAUGCACGUCUUGACGGUACCUAAUCAGAAAGCCACGGCUAACUACGUG